rnacentral:rRNA from 1 species
CCUACGGGAGGCAGCAGUGAGGAAUAUUGGUCAAUGGCCGGAAGGCUGAACCAGCCAAGUCGCGUGAAGGAAGAAGGAUCGAUGGUUUGUAAACUUCUGUUAUAGGGGAAUAAAGGUAUCCACGUGUGGAUAUUUGCAUGUACCCUAUGAAUAAGCAUCGGCUAACUCCGUGCCAGCAGCCGCGGUAAUACGGAGGAUGCGAGCGUUAUCCGGAUUUAUUGGGUUUAAAGGGUGAGUAGAUGGGUUGUUAAGUCAGUUGUGAAAGUUUGCGGCUCAACCGUAAAAUUGCAAGUGAUACUGGCAGUCUUGAGUACAGUUGAGGUCGGCGGAAUUCGUGGUGUCGCGGUGAAAUGCUUAGAUAUCACGAAGAACCCCGAUUGCGAAGGCAGCUUACUAAACUGUGACUGACAUUGCUGCUCGAAAGUGUGGGUAUCAAACAGGAUUAGAUACCCUUGUAGUC